rnacentral:rRNA from 1 species
CGUAGGGACCAAGCGUUGUCCGGAUUCAUUGGGCGUAAAGAGCUCGUAGGCGGUUCGAUAAGUCGGGUGUGAAACCUCCAGGCUCAACCUGGAGACGCCACCCGAUACUGUCGUGACUAGAGUCCAGUAGGGGAGCGUGGAAUUCCUGGUGUAGCGGUGAAAUGCGCAGAUAUCAGGAGGAACACCAGCGGCGAAGGCGGCGCUCUGGGCUGGAACUGACGCUGAGGAGCGAAAGCGUGGGGAGCGAACAGGAUUAGAUACCCUGGUAGUCCACGCCGUAAACGUUGGGUACUAGGUGUGGGGGUCUUAUCAACGGAUUCCGUGCCGAAGCUAACGCAUUAAGUACCCCGCCUGGGGAGUACGGCCGCAAGGCU